GAUGAACGCUGGCUACAGGCUUAACACAUGCAAGUCGAGGGGAAGCGACGGGGAAGCUUGCUUCCCCGGGCGUCGACCGGCGCACGGGUGAGUAACGCGUAUCCAACCUGCCUCUGACUGAGGGAUAACCCGUCGAAAGUCGGCCUAAUACCUCAUGGCAUCGUCUGCGGGCAUCCAACGACGAUUAAAGAUUUCAUCGGUCAGGGAUGGGGAUGCGUCUGAUUAGCUAGUUGGCGGGGUAACGGCCCACCAAGGCGACGAUCAGUAGGGGUUCUGAGAGGAAGGUCCCCCACAUUGGAACUGAGACACGGUCCAAACUCCUACGGGAGGCAGCAGUGAGGAAUAUUGGUCAAUGGGCGAGAGCCUGAACCAGCCAAGUAGCGUGCAGGAUGACGGCCCUAUGGGUUGUAAACUGCUUUUAUGCGGGGAUAAAGUGAGGGACGUGUCCUUCAUUGCAGGUACCGCAUGAAUAAGGACCGGCUAAUUCCGUG
rnacentral:rRNA from 1 species